rnacentral:lncRNA from 1 species
CGAGGCUGAUCAAGGCCAGCGAACAAAAUUUUUCGACUUUCGGUGCCUUGUUGUCUAUUUAAAUGCAGCUAUAUUUGUUUGGCGUUGAAGGGAACUCAUUUAAUCUUUUAUUAAAUAAUCAUUUAUUGCUUGUUUUCGAGCUAUAUAACAGAAAAAAAAGAAGGAAAAAACCCAGAUAACGUAACGUCUAUAAGCACUGACACAGGUCUGCAUAAAAUAUGGCAAAGUCAAAGGCAUGGGCAAGUAACUCAAAGUGAGCUCGGUACGUCAAGAGAAG